UCCAUUUCCCUUUCACUUACCUUUCUCCUUCAAUCUCCUCCUCCAUCACUCUCCAUCUGAAAAGCGCUCCACUUUCAUUCAACAUCAUUUAUCUAAUCGAAGGGUUUUUGGUUCACAUAUCUGUAAACCACAUGUCUUUGAUGUGAUCGAGAUCGUCAUACAUAACCCAGGAGAGAGGAGGAUCCGGCUUGUGGACCGCUGAUCGAUUUCAUUGCUUUCAGGGCUCUGUAUCCUCCCAGACCUUCCAGCAGCCUAUACAAGUUAAAUACUUGGUGCACAUGUUAAAAAAAUGACUCAACAUACUUCAACAAAUCAAAAGGAUAUAGGUUCAAAGAAAAAACCGUUGUAAGAGCAGAGUAAUGUGAGUAUUAUAUAUGCUAUUUAUGCAUAGCUUCUUGUUCCAAUUUAUGCUAAUUGAAUCUAUCUUCUAUAUUUAUCAUAUGUAAUGUAAUUAUCUACAAAAUAAGAAUAGAGCAGUGGGAUGGGAAAUGAGCCUAUUUGUAUGGGCUUCCUAUUGCUUAUCAGG